rnacentral:rRNA from 1 species
GUGGGGAAUAUUGGGCAAUGGGCGAAAGCCUGACCCAGCAACGCCGCGUGAGGGAAGAAGGUUUUCGGAUUGUAAACCUCUGUCCUUAGUGACGAACACAAUGACGGUAGCCAAGGAGGAAGCCCCGGCUAACUACGUGCCAGCAGCCGCGGUAAUACGUAGGGGGCAAGCGUUGUCCGGAAUGACUGGGCGUAAAGGGCGUGUAGGCGGCCGAUUAAGUCUGGAGUGAAAGUCCUGCUUUCAAGGUGGGAAUUGCUUUGGAGACUGGUUGGCUUGAGUGCGGAAGAGGCAAGUGGAAUUCCCAGUGUAGCGGUGAAAUGCGUAGAGAUUGGGAGGAACACCAGUGGCGAAGGCGACUUGCUGGGCCGUAACUGACGCUGAGGCGCGAAAGCGUGGGGAGCGAACAGGAUUAGAAACCCGGGUAGUCC